UUUUGGAUAAAAGAAACAAUUUUUAGAUAAAAUAAAAUAAAGUUUUUCACAGGAGAAAUGUUUUUCAUUCUCUUGUAAAAUUUUAAUUUUGUGACGUCAUAUUUUCAAAAGACAGCACUCAAUUAAGCUAUUAUGUUUUUUUUUGGUGCUACUCAUUUAAUUUUUCUGAAACUUAUGUUUUUCUUAGUGUUCGUUCUUAGUCAUCCUUAAUAAUAAUAUCCAUACUAACAUGUAUAAUAAGCUCCAUACUAAUAUCCAACUUAACUAAUAGCUAAGUUUUAAAAGUUUUGUCAUUGAAAGCAUGUACAAUCUUAGCAUUUCCAUUACAGUAGAUAGUAAUUUUAAACAUUUUGUAAAAAUGAUUGUUAAAAAUGGUCAGGGAAAUUCAUUUGAUUUUUCAAAAAAGUUAUUGAUUUUUAUAUAAAUUGUUGGCUACGAACCCUGUUGGAGAAACAUUGUUUUAAUAUGAAUUUUUUUGUUGUACAGUGCAAUCUGUAUUUUAUAAGAAACACAAAACAAUUCUCGUUAAUGUGUAAGCUUAAACAUUAACGAAAAUUGUUUUGUGUCAGUGCCAGAAAUUAAAUGCACACCUGCAAAUUUCAUAAUUCAUAAAAAUAUUAUGAAUCCAUUAGCAAGUAUAUAAUUUUAUCAUUAAAAAUUUGACUUUCUUUCUUUAAUUUUAUCUGUUUUAUUAGUGAUUGUUGUAUUUACUUUCAUAAAUUCUAAAUAUAAUAUGUAAUUAGUUGUAUAGUUUCUUAAAAGUUGUAUCCUUGAAAGAUAUGCUGGUAUUAUUGGCACAAUGGGCAAGCAUUAAAGUGCAGCUUGGUGAAAUACAAAACACAUCAAAUUCAGUUAUAAAAAUUUGAGUAACAAAGGUCAAUUAUUUGGCACAAUUUGGAGUUAAAGACAAAGGAGAUUGUAUAUGUUAUUUACUAAGAAUUGUUUUUUAAAAUGGCAUAGCUGUAAAAUUAAACUAUACAGGGAGAGGACAAAAGUUGGAAUAGGAAAAAAUGUUGAUUGCAUAUGUUGCUAUUGAAACUGUGAAGUCAAAUAAGCAUGGCUUAUGCAGACAUGUGAUAGAGAUAGUGGAAGAAA